rnacentral:misc_RNA from 1 species
GUCGAUUUUUGAAACAGUGCCGGAGUAUCAAUUGGCAGUGAGAUGUCAGGUGGUGUAUCAAAUGUCACCGUGGAAAACGUCCUUGUGUGGAGCUCUAGGCGUGCAGUUCGGAUAAAGACAGCCCCUGGAAGAGGUGGAUAUAUUCGACAUAUAACCUAUCGGAAUCUAACAUUUGACAAUGUCCGAGUUGGAAUUGUUAUCAAGACAGAUUACAAUGAACACCCUGACGAAGGUUAUGAUCCUAAGGCAGUUCCAAAACUAGAGGACAUAAGCUACACUGGAGUCCAUGGUCAAGGAGUUCGCGUGCCAGUGCGGAUGCAUGGGAGUGAAGAAAUUCCAGUUAGGAACGUGACUUUUCGGGAUAUGUCAGUGGGAAUAACAUACAAGAAGAAGCAUAUAUUCCAGUGCGCUUUUGUUGAAGGUCGUGUAAUAGGUACCAUAUUCCCUGCCCCAUGUGAGAAUCUUGAUCGUUAUGAUGAGCAAGAACGACUCAUUAAGCACUCCGUCUCCCAGAACUUGACAGAUGUAGACUAUGAUUUUUGAUAAAAUGUUGAGUUCCCAAUCUCCUGGGCAUAGCUUUCUUGAGUUGAGUGACUUCAACAUUUGUCUGUAUGAGAUAAGCUGGAUAAAUCACCCUGGAGCGGUUAAUCUCGCUCUUAAUGUUUUCUGCCAAAGUGUUAUCGAGUUUUUUUCAUUUCUUGACAGAGUUGUAUAUAUACAGAAAAUUCUCAGUUGUUCAUACAUUCAUGAGGGUGCCGAAAUUCCAUAGCUUGUUUUCUACACUUCGAAACCUCUUACAUGGUUGCAAAGCCG